rnacentral:rRNA from 1 species
AUUGAACGCUGGCGGCAGGCUUAACACAUGCAAGUCGAGCGGGGGAAGGUAGCUUGCUACCGGACCUAGCGGCGGACGGGUGAGUAAUGCUUAGGAAUCUGCCUAUUAGUGGGGGACAACAUCUCGAAAGGGAUGCUAAUACCGCAUACGUCCUACGGGAGAAAGCAGGGGAUCUUCGGACCUUGCGCUAAUAGAUGAGCCUAAGUCGGAUUAGCUAGUUGGGGGGGUAAAGGCCUACCAAGGCGACGAUCUGUAGCGGGUCCGAGAGGAUGAUCCGCCACACUGGGACUGAGACACGGCCCAGACUCCUACGGGAGGCAGCAGUGGGGAAUAUUGGACAAUGGGGGGAACCCUGAUCCAGCCAUGCCGCGUGUGUGAAGAAGGCCUUAUGGUUGUAAAGCACUUUAAGCGAGGAGGAGGCUACUCUAGUUAAUACCUAGGGAUAGUGGACGUUACUCGCAGAAUAAGCACCGGCUAACUCUGUGCCAGCCGCCGCAGUAA